rnacentral:lncRNA from 1 species
AAGUUUGAAAACAUUAACAGAUGCUUUUAACAUUUAAAGAAAACUACUUGAACGUAAGAAAUUUUAAAACACGAUACAAUCCAGUCCAAAACCAGAGUGUCACAGAGUGCAUGAGCGUCUAGGGAAAUACAUAGUCUAUUACAAUGUCUAAAGAAGCAAUUAAAAUAACACUAGAGAAUAAGAAGGAGAUCUAGGGCCUGCGAAUGUCGUGCAGAUACCUCAAUAAUCUCCUAAGCCUGAAGCCUCAAUCAACAACCGCCACUGGGUCCAAAAGUGCCUGGAUCUGCACACAAGGUGCAGGGAGUAACGUGGGUACUCCAACUCAGUAAGUAACGAGUCCAAACUACUGACUGAAAGGUAGUGACAAACUCAACCUCAAUAAAUAUAAUAGAAACAACGUACAGAAACGUAGUCAUGCUUUCAGUUAAAUAGACAGCUCAAAGUAAUAAGGUAAAUACAGAUCUGAACAGUUUAAGAUAUAUAACUCAACUGCCUAUACAUGCCAAUGCACCGACUGUGUGAAAUGCACAAUGUACUCCCACUCUCAAGUGCUCAACCNNNNNNNNNNNNNNNNNNNNNNNNNNNNNNNNNNNNNNNNNNNNNNNNNNNNNNNNNNNNNNNNNNNNNNNNNNNNNNNNNNNNNNNNNNNNNNNNNNNNNNNNNNNNNNNNNNNNNNNNNNAGGGAAAUCCAUCAAUAUAUUCAUCAUUGACUAUAAGUCACCCAGUACUGAGGAAAAAGGAUAAUCCAACCCUGUGGAGAAAUCCAUCUCCAGAUAUCAAUACUUCGGACAAAUCCAUGUCCAGAGAAAUUCAUCCAUCAAUAAUAUCAUCCGCGCCUACUGAAGGUGUGCAGACUCUGGAGGGGCUCCUACGGUCCAAGCGUUAUAGUAAUCAAUAACUGUUGCGGCAUGCAGCCUGAUCUCAUAACUAUCACUCAUAAUCAGGCUCUCGGCCUCACACAGUCAUCACUCUCCAAUCUCACCCAUGGGCUCACAAUGUCAUGGAAACUAGCCCGAAAACAUUGAUAUGUUAUGCCAAUAAUGACAAUUGAGACUGAAAUAUGAUAUGAAAUGCAUGAAUAUAACUAAGUACAAAAUAACAGUAAAUUUAGUGAAAUGACAGCAAGAAACGACCACUAGGGGUCCCAGCAGUAUCGGUGUGAAGCCAUAAUAUGAUAUCUAGCAUGUUUUGCAGCUCAAUUACUUUAUCACACAAUGGAAACACGGAUAUCAACAAGGAGUCAUUAAACGGUGUCAUAGAAUGAACCAGGUCACGAUUCUCAUGGUGCACGCCCGCACGCCCGCAUGCCCAUCACUUGGUAUGUGCAUCUCCUCAAUACUAACCACAUAACAUGUAGUUCAAGGUUUCGAACCCUCAGAACCAAGUUUGAAAGCAUUACUUACCUCAAACCUAGCCAAAAUCCUACUCUGCGAUGCCUUUGCCUCUCAAAUCGACCUCCAAACAUCCUGAAUCUAGCCACAAGCAAUCCAAUACGAUCAAUAUAGGCUAAAGGAACCAAUUCUAUAAGAAAAAUACCAAAUCAUAGCCAAAAUCUGAAAUCGGCCCAAACCCGGACCCCAGGCCUACGUCUGGAAAACCGACAAAAGUUAUAAAAACUGAAAGCCCGUUUACUCAUCAGUCUAACCAUACGAAAUUUAUCAAAAUCCAACAUCACUAGGUCCCUCAAAUCUCCAAAUUAUACUCUCCAAAAUCCCAAGCACUAACCCCCAAUUUUCACUUCAUAAUCCCACUAAUUAGAUGAGAAAUCAACGGGAAAACACCAUAGCUAAGGGUACUUAGGCUCAAGGGACUUACCUCAGUGAAAUACUUGAAUUCCCUUCAAAAAUCACCUCAAAAGCUCCAAAGUCCGGGUUGAAUGGUGGAAAUGAAGAAAAAUCACUAAGUCCUCUAUUUAUACAUUCUGUCUCGUGAUACCGCACCUGCGGUCCAAAUGUCACUUCUACGACACCGCACCUACGAAAAAUCCAUUGCAGGUGUGGAACCCACUUAAGUUCUCAGAGUCCUCAUCUGGGGUUGAUCACAUGCACCUACGGGUGCGCACUUGCGGGCCACGCCCGCUUCUGUGAUCAUUACUUCCUUCGCCUUUUCCGCAUUUGCGCUUCGCCUCCCACAUCUGUGCUUACACAGAUGUGUACCAACCCUCGCACUUGCGCUUCCAGACCAAACCACUCUUGCCCGCACCUAUAAGCACCUCUUCGCUUCUGUGGUCCGCACUUGCGGGCUCCCCACUGCAGGUGCGAAAACACCAAAACCAGACCACUUUAGCAAUCCUUCAAACUUCAGUCUUAUUCUGUUAACCACCCGAAAUCAACCCGAGGCCCAUGGGACCUCAACCAAACAUACCAACACGUUCCAUAACAUCGUACGUACUUAGUCGAACCUUCAAAUCACUCCAAAAAAUAUCAAAAUACCAAAUUAUACUCGGAUUCAAGCCUAAGAACCUCUAAUUUUCCGAAUUCCACAAACGAUGUCGAAACCUACCAAACCACGUCUGAAUGACCUCAAAUUUUGCACACAAGUCAGAAAUGACACUACGAACCUACUCCAACUUCCAGAAAUCCAAUUCGACCCUGAUAUCAAAAUUUUCACUCCCGACCAAAAUCGCCAAAAUUUCAACUUUCGCCAAUUCAAGCCUAAUUUUGAUACGGACCUCCAAAUCACAUUCUGAACGCGCUCCUAAGUAAUUACCUAACGGAGGUAACAGAACCAUCAAAAUUCAUAUUCGAGGUCGUUUACACAUAAGUCAAUAUCUGAUCAACUCUUCCAAUUUAACACUUCUCAUAAGAGACUAAGUGUCUCAAUUCACUCCAAUACCACUCCGGACAUAAACCGACUAAUCUGAUAAGUCAAAAUACAGCUGAAGAAUACAAAAGAAGCAGGAAAUGGGAGAACGGGACUAUAAAUCUCAAAAUGACUGACCAGGUCAUUACAUUUAUAUAGUAUACCAAAAAGGAAUAAAGAUAGAAACAAGAGUAAGAAAACAUGAACCAGUGGCAAAAGUAAGGUGUUAGGUCGUGUGACGGUAUUUGUGAACAUGGUGGACUUCAGCAUAAUAAGUAGUGUUUUUGCAUCUUAAAUAUAAUAUUUAGUUAUGUGGAUAACGAACGGUCUGUCUAUUCCUCUCCACUUAAAUAUAUGAUUUAAAUAUGUUAUAAUGAAUUGUUUCUCUAUUCCUCUUUACUUAAACUUGAGAUCUGAUUCACAACAGGAUUCCACCUCAACCUCGUGAUGUGUCAUAUAUCCAGUGUGGUACUAUUUUUGCCAUUGAUCUAAAGACAUGGAGGCAAAAACAAUAAGAUGAUAUAUCUUUUUUAUUUUAGUAUUUCGAGCUACGUUUAACAGAGAUUGUAACAAGUUGAGUAGCAAUUAAUAUCAACAUUCCGAAUUUCUGGUGACCUCCAAAUACUUACAAAGGUUUCCUUUUUGUCCAUUAAUGCAUACUCUGAUCUUGAAACCUUUUCGAAACUCAAAGAAUCCAUUGUUGGUACUUCAAGUUCUGGUCUCAAUGACUAGAAAAAUAUCACAACAAAUUCCUCAACUUUCUCUUUUAUUCAUUAUUGUUCUUUCUCUGGCGUUACAUGUAAUAAUGAUUUACGUGUUAUGUCUUUGAACUUUUCUAAUGUUCCUUUGUUUGGUACCAUUCCUCCAUAAGAACUCUGAUCCCUUGCCUCGAUUUUCUUCUCUAUCUCUUCAAGACCUUUUAGAAUCACAUCUCUUUCAUUCUCGCUUAUCAAUCCCCCUACAACACAUCAAUGAAUUCAUGCACAUUUAAGUACCACUUUCUUUCUCCCUAAUAAUUAGGAUGAAAUAAUACAAACAAUUAAGUUGUAGUGUUCUUUCUCCGGAAAAGAUUCCUCAUUUCACUUUCUCACUCCAUAAUACCUCCUCUAACAUGUAGAUGUUAGAACCAAAAUACUUUAAGAUGAAAUCAUUCAUCUUUUACCCAAAACCUAUCAUGUCAAAUCAUCGAGAAUAAAACUAGAUGUGGAAGCAUACCUGAAUCCAUAAGAACGAAUGAAACUCCUCGUCUUGCGGUUAGUGGUCGUAGGAAUUGCACAGAAUGCGGCUCUUACUUUCCUAAC